ACGGCAGUUCCGUAGGGUUGACUCUGUGACACUAUUUCAACUUUUGCGGGCUAAGUUUGUAAUUCUAAGAAAUCAUUCCUGACUGUUCAGGAUUGCUGGCUUCGGUUUUCCUCCCUUCACCGUCUACUCAAAGAUGUAACCUGAUAAGUCGAAUUUCGCAACCCUUCUUUAACUGGGUUUCGUCUUCGGAGUUUUUCGCGACCAACUUCGUGGCGGUGAUAAAGUUGAUGUUUUAGUCUCAAACUGCGAUUAAGUAUAUCAUUUAGAGCUGUGUUGGUGUUCAGUGAGUAUCGACGUAGAAGUUGUAAAUUUAUUGCGUUUUCAUGAAAUCCUGCGGAUUGUCGCUCGCUACUGCCGCUGCUACUGCCUUCGGUAAUGAGGAAAAGAAAAUGGCGGCGGAAAAAGCGAAAGGCCAGGGUGAAGGCGAAUCUCUUAGCUUGACAGUCGAGGACAGAGAGGCUCUCCGUGAACUGGACAGCACCCUGUUUGGGUUUCUGGAGCGUCACGAAGAUGGCGUCAGGACGAAGACUCUACUGGACAAGGCUGUUCACUGCUACGAAUCUUUAAUAUUAAAAACAGAUGGAAAAGUGGAAUCUGAUUUCUUUUGUCAGUUAGGUCACUUCAACCUGUUACUGGAAGAUUAUUCAAAAGCAUUAUCUGCAUAUCAGCGAUACUACAGUUUACAGGCUGACUACUGGAAGAAUGCUGCCUUUUUAUAUGGUCUUGGUUUGGUGUACUUCUACUAUAAUGCAUUUCAUUGGGCAAUUAAAGCAUUUCAAGAUGUACUUUAUGUUAACCCUAGCUUUUGUCGAGCCAAGGAAAUUCACUUACGACUUGGGCUUAUGUUCAAAGUGAACACAAACUAUGAAUCUAGUUUAAAGCAUUUUCAGUUAGCACUAAUUGACUGUAAUCCUUGUACUUUGUCCACUGCUGAAAUUCAGUUUCAUAUUGCACAUGUGUUUGAAAUCCAAAGGAAGCAUCAUGCUGCCAAAGAAGCCUAUGAACAGCUUUUACAGACAGAAAAUCUUCCUGCACAAGUAAAAGCAGCUGUAUUGCAACAGUUAGGUUGGAUGCAUCAUACUGAGGACUUAGUAGAAGACAAAGCAAUCAAGGAAAGCUGUGCUAUUCAGUAUCUCCAGAAAUCACUGGAGAUGGACCCUAAUUCUGGCCAGUCUUGGUAUUUCCUGGGAAGGUGUUAUUCGAGUAUUGGAAAAGUUCAGGAUGCCUUUAUAUCUUACAGGCAGUCUAUUGAUAAAUCAGAAGCAAGUGCAGAUACAUGGUGUUCAAUAGGUGUACUCUACCAGCAGCAGAAUCAGCCCAUGGAUGCUUUGCAGGCUUAUAUUUGUGCUGUACAAUUGGACCACGGGCAUGUGGCAGCCUGGAUGGACUUGGGCACUCUGUAUGAAUCCUGCAAUCAACCUCAGGAUGCCAUUAAAUGCUAUUUGAAUGCAACUAGAAGCAAAGAUUGUAGUAACACAUCUACACUUGCAGCAAGAAUUAAGUUUUUACAGGCUCAGUUGUGUAACCUUCCACAAAGUAGUCUCCAGAAUAAAACUAAAUUACUUCCUAGUAUUGAGGAGGCAUGGAGCCUACCAAUACCCGCAGAGCUUACCUCCAGGCAGGGUGCCAUGAACACAGCACAGCAGCCAAGUAGAAGGCCCCUGCCUGCUUGUGCCAAGAGGAAAAGAGCACCUAGUUUAACAAAGAACGGUUCUGAAAAGUGGGAUAGUGGCCAGAUUGCUUCACAUCAUCCAGUACAGCAACAAGUUCAUUCAUGGUGUUUGACACCACAGAAAUUACAGCACUUAGAACAGCUGCGUGCAAAUAAAGCUAAUUUAAAUUCAGCACAGAGAUUGGUGCUGGAACAGCUGGAAAAUCAGUUUGUCUUAAUGCAGCAACAAAUGAGACAAACAGGAGUUGCUCAGGCACAGACCACUGGAAUUCCUAAUGGGCCAAUAUGUGACUCAUCACUGCCUGCACAUUCUUUGCCUAGCCAGCAAGCAAAUACAGCUCUGACUGGAGCACCUAGCAUCUCUCAGUCUGGAAUUCGCCCUGCUUGUCUUGAAAAGCAUUUGUCCAAUGGACCUUUUUCAGCAGGCUGUGUUCCUUUCAGCACGUCAAAAACUCUAGGGAAUACAGACACUAUUUUGGUAGGUGAUAAUUAUAUAACGGGAAAUGGAAGUAAUGGAAAUGUGCCUUACCUACAGCAAAACACACAUACUCUACCUCAUAACUGCGUAAACCUGACCAGCAUCGCAGGAGAGCCAUGGAGAAAACAAGUGUUGAACUCUGCUCAGGGGCUUCAUAAAGAUCAAAGUUCAUAUUUGGCAGGACCUAAUGAUGAACAACCUCUGUUUCCUAAUGGCUCUACCCAAUAUCUCCGAGCAGCUGUUCAGAAUCAGAAUGGACUUCACAAGCUGCCUAGAAAUUCAGCACCACAGAGCCAUGCUUGCAGUCACCUCUCUUCUCAUCUUGCUACCUCAGGUGGACAAGAAGAUAUUACCUUUACCAAAGAGAGAAAGUCUUCAGGAAAUAGAUACUUGGGUUCUGAAACAAGCAGGCAUGCUGGAGACACAUCCAAUAGCUGUGCUGGUAUCAGAGGACUUCCUAAUUAUGUCCAUCAAGUCACAGCGGUUACUAUUUCUAGUCAUAACCAUACAGGAUCUGUGUCACCAAAUUUAAUAAUUGCAGACAAUCCUCAGCUCUCUACUUUGUUGAUGGGAGAAGCCAAUGACAAUAUGGGUAUUGCAACUAGUGAAAAAGUCAAUAAUAUUUGUCCAACUAUUCAUGCAAAGUCUGAUAAUUUACUCUCUUCAGCCAUUUCCACAGCAACACCUUCUCCAGAUUCCACUGAGCAGGCAAGAAGACACGGUGUUAGCAGCCUUAAAAGUACUCAGAGUGCAUUACACACAAUUAAUGGAGAAGAACCGGAGAACUUACAGAGCUCUACAAAAGUUGACUUGCCUGUAUUUAGCCACAAGGCUAGUCCUCAGAUCAUACCAUCAAUGUCUGUAUCUAUAUAUUCCAAUUCAACAGAAGCUUUGAAGGCAUGCAGGAAUCAAGGUCAAAAUGUUUUGUCUAAUAAUCACAUUCUGUUGGAUAAAUGUCCACCUCCACGACCUCCAGCUUCACCAUAUCCUCCAUUGCCAAAGGAGAAGUUGAAUCCACCUACACCAAGUAUUUAUCUGGAAAAUAAACGUGAUGCUUUCUUUCCUCCAUUACAUCAAUUUUGUAUAAAUCCAAAAAACCCUGUUACAGUAAUACGUGGUCUUGCUGGAGCACUUAAGUUAGAUCUUGGACUUUUCUCUACCAAAACAUUGGUAGAAGCUAACAAUGAACAUAUGGUAGAAGUAAGGACACAGUUGUUGCAACCAGCUGAUGAAAAUUGGGAUCCCACUGGAACAAAGAAAAUCUGGCGUUAUGAAAGUAAUAGAUCUCAUACCACAAUUGCUAAAUAUGCCCAGUACCAGGCCUCUUCCUUCCAGGAAUCACUGAGAGAAGAAAAUGAGAGAAAAACACAACUGAAAGACUGUUCAGAUAAUGAAUCUACGUCUUCAGAUAUUUCUGGGAAGAGAAGGAAAGGACCUUUUAAAACCAUAAAAUUUGGGACCAACAUUGACCUCUCUGAUAAGAAAAAAUGGAAGUUACAGUUACAUGAGCUGACUAAACUUCCUGCUUUUGUGCGUGUUGUAUCAGCAGGAAACCUUCUAAGUCAUGUUGGUCAUCCUAUAUUGGGUAUGAAUACAGUUCAACUAUACAUGAAAGUUCCAGGGAGUAGAACACCAGGUCACCAAGAAAAGAACAACUUCUGUUCUGUAAACAUAAAUAUUGGUCCAGGUGACUGUGAAUGGUUUGUUGUGCCUGAAGAUUACUGGGGUGUUCUGAAUGACUUCUGUGAAAAAAAUAAUUUGAAUUUCCUAAUGAGUUCUUGGUGGCCCAACCUUGAAGAUCUUUAUGAAGCAAAUGUUCCUGUGUAUAGGUUUAUUCAGCGACCUGGAGAUUUGGUGUGGAUAAAUGCAGGCACUGUGCAUUGGGUUCAGGCUAUUGGGUGGUGCAACAAUAUUGCCUGGAAUGUUGGUCCACUGACAGCCUGCCAGUAUAAGUUGGCAGUGGAACGGUAUGAAUGGAAUAAAUUGCAAAGUGUGAAGUCAGUAGUGCCAAUGGUUCAUCUUUCCUGGAAUAUGGCACGAAAUAUCAAAAUCUCAGAUCCAAAACUUUUUGAAAUGAUUAAGUAUUGUCUUCUGAAAAUUCUAAAGCAUUGUCAGACAUUAAGAGAAGCUCUUAUUGCAGCAGGAAAAGAUGUUAUAUGGCAUGAACGGUCAAACAAUGAACCUGCUCAUUAUUGCAGUAUCUGUGAGGUGGAGGUAUUUAAUCUGCUUUUUGUCACUAGUGAAAGCAGUUCACAAAAGACCUACAUAGUACAUUGCCAAGAUUGUGCACAAAAAACAAGUGGAAAUUUGGAAAAUUUUGUGGUGCUAGAACAAUAUAAAAUGGAGGAUCUGAUGCAAGUCUAUGACCAGUUUACAUUGUUAUCUUAACGAGUUGUCAAGCCACAGUGAAAGACUGCAAGUUUGGGAACAGACUGAAAAGUUAAAGAGAUCUUAGCGCAUGUGCGCGUGCACACACACGCUAAUCUAAAAAUGGGGCUCCAUCAUUAUCAACCUCCUCUUCUUAAUACUGUUCCAUGAACAUCAAGACCUUUCUGCUCCAGGAAAUAUCUGUAUCACUGGUUUUGUAGCUGUUUCAUAAAACUGCUGACUCAAAGCUAUGUCUAUGCAAGUUUAUAAAAACAGAGGGUCAGGUAACUGGACAGAGAGGAUGUUUCCUCUACACUAGUAUUAAAAAAGCUGUCCCCUCUGUAUCUUAAAAAAUAAUAAUGUUAUGUGUAGAGCUGACAAAAUGUCAGUGUUACCUAGACUCACUUGAAGAUGAGCCUCUUUCUCAUCCUCUCAUUUUUUUUUUCCUGUUUUUGUUUUCUAAUUUCCAGGCAAAUGGAUUAAUUUUCAUCUGUAUUUUAGUCUUUCAGAAUUUUCUUGGGGAAAAUAUUACUUGCUAUCUGGCAAUUCUUUGUAAGAUGGUUAACAAAUUUCAGUCGUUAAAAAAAUUUUUUUUUUCCUGACCAACUUUUUUUUUUUUAUGUGAAAAAUGAGGUGAGACAGUUUUUUAGUUUUUCUGUACUAUUUCAAGGUUAUGAUGGUUACACUUGUGGUUCUGAAAUAAAUUAAGAGAAUUAAUAACCAAGUUGCAAAAAAGAUUACGCAUAAAAAAUAAACUUCCAAUUUGUGAUUUUUGUUUAUAAUAUUGAUACAGAUUUGAACUAUUUAUAAAUGCAUAUUUAUUGCUUGAGAAUAUUUGUGAAUUGAAUAUUGUUUUAUCCAAACUUACUUGUCGUUAAAUACUAAGGAGUUCUGUAAUUUUAAGCACUACUCCUGUUACAUUUUGUAUGUAUACAUAAAUCUGUUUAGAAUUGUACAGAAACAUUUAUUAAAACUUUUUAAUGUUUAAAGGGUUUUCCACUGUUUCAGUUUUAAAAAACUUCUGUAAAGACCCAGUUUUUGUUACUUUUCAAAUCUAAUGAAUAUAUGUAUUUUAUGUGUGUACAUACCUAUGUACAAUAUAUAGAAACUUCAGUAUAUAAUUGUAUACGAAAAAUACAAAGCUUGAAUUUUUAUAUCUACAGUAGUUUUUGAGGUGCCUAGUAUGAAGUAUUGCUUACAAAAAAGUAUGCUUAUUUUUAAAGUAAAUGUUGUUUGGUUUCACUUACUAAGUUGCAAUUAUUGUGAUUGUAGCCAGUAAAUAACUACUGCAAAUAUAAAAUAGUACAAAGCAAAAUACUGGGUAAAGAUAAGGCUUUAAAGAGAACAUUUUAUAAAUUUAAUGAGUCUUGUUAAUUGUAUUUGGUUAUUUUGUGAAAGAGAUUCAAAUUGUUGAUUUCUAUGUUAAGAGAACAGAUACAUUUAUUUAUUAAGUUAGAUGACAUAGAAAUUCCAUACUUCUCUAAUUGUACAACAUAGUGAGAGAGGGUUGCAAUGAUAGUAUUAAAUAAUUUGUUUCCAGUGAAUUUUUAACAAAUUCUAUGAAAGCUUUUGUUUCAUAUGAGUAACAUUUUUUUAACCACAUAACUUAAUUUAAUAAUACUUGGCUUUUCUACCUCUACUUUAUAAAGCUUUUGAUCUGUAUCAUUACCCUAUCCCUUGUUCUAAGAGUUUUCCAGAAAACUUUACUGAAGAAUUAUAAAAUCCGAUGUGGAAGUUAUAUAAAUUUAUAACAGGAAAGUUUACAAUCCAAUGUGCUGAAAUGCUGAUGGUUACAUUAAUGAAAUAUAUUUUUUAAAAUGGUUUUUACAUACUUUGGCAUGCUAGACUAAAGAUGUUGAAAUAUUUUACAGUUUAAUAUUAUUUUGGAGUAUUAAAACCCUCAGGGUAUUAGUCACCUAUGUAUAAUUUCAUUUAAAAAACUGCAAUUUUUGGUUAAAAGAAAUGCUAAAUCAAUCUAGAUAUUUGUAAUGUUAAUGCUUAAGAAAUUUCAUGUAAAUGUUUCCAAAGAUCACAAAGUGAAGGCAAACUUCUUUAAACAAAAAUUUUAGGUAUGUGUGGUAGCACAUGGCUUUGAUUCCCACAGUAUAGGAGACUGAGACAAUAUCUGAAGCGUGAGCUUGUCUGGACAACAGUAGUUAGUGAUAGAUCUUACCUCAAAAGAAAAUAUGAAUGCAGUUUUAAAAGAGCUAGGAUGUAGGUUAGUUGAAAAGCCUGGGUUUUUUCUUCAGUUCUUCCCACACCACCUCAAAAGCACAUCAGUCAUCAACAAAGAGUAUACUUUUCAGAAAUAAAUUAAAUCUUUAAGUGAACAUACAGGAAAUGAAAGAUGCAUCAACAUCAUUUAGAAGUUUAACUAUUGGAUGGCUAAAAUUGCUUAGACUACUCAUAUAAUAUGUUUCAGUUAAAUAAAUUUAUAUUAUUUAAAAAAGGAUCCUAAUCCACAAAUUCUCUAAAUCAUCAAGGUUUUUGUUUCGUUUUCAAAUAGCAGGUGAGUGAGAACUCAAGCAUAUUCUUUUCUCUUUGUUAGCAAAUAACUACUUUUUACUUUUCAGUACAUUUUAAUGAAGAUUUAUUUCUGUCUGUGCCAUGAUUCUAUAACUCAACUUGCUUAUUGAAGUAAAUAUAAAAUAUUUUAACACCCAUGUUUUAUUGUUAAAGUAAAUUGCUUUUUACAAGUAGGUUUCAAAUUAAGGCCUUCAAAAUACUAGCAUGUGGUCAGCAGAUGUGUAUGCUCAGUCUUGAGCUCAGCACAAAGGAGUACUCUGUUUCUGAGAAAUGGUUGAAUUUUUUGCAAGAUUUUUGUAUUUUCAAAACUUUGCUGGGGAUAUAGCCUAGUGGUAUAAGUACCUGCCUUGCAAGCACAUGGUUUGAUCCCCAGUACUCCUCCAAACCAAAAUGUUUAUGUAUGUUUAAUACAUUUUCUUUACUUGUUUCUCAGAAAACCCAGAUGGUAUGCUACACUAGUUUCUCAGAAAACCCAGAUGAUAAGAUAACCCAGUUAUGAUACGCAGUUACACCUUGCUUUCCAUGUGAGUAAAAGUUUUUCCAUUGAGUAUUAUUUUACCCCAAAACAAGACUGCAAGAUGUUGUUUAAAAAGUGGGGCAAGACGUUUUUUAAAAAGAAGAGCAUAAUUUUAGCUGGCACCCAGCAACAUAGCCUGCAUUGGAAUCUGCAGAGCUGUGUAACCAGGUUAGGUUAGCGGGUGGGGUGUUAUGUAAGGUAAAACCACAAGGAAGAGAAAAGGGAGGGAGCUUAUACAAAAAGGGAGUUAAUCUCUGCAAACAUUUUACAAUCAAGAGUCAGUCAUUCCUGGGACCAUAUGUUUUACAAUUGGUGGUCAUCAAAUGUUGUACAAUCAGGGGUCAGUUGGUUCUGGGACCAAACUGCUGUUCUAGAAGGGGGUUAAUUCAAAAGAAACAAGAGUUGAACACAGGUCAUGGUAACCAGGCUUAAAGAACAGGAUGGCAACACUUUUAGUUAGGUUACAACAUUCCCCAUUGAUUUUAAUCAGUGAGUCAAAUCAUUGGCUCAUGGAAAGGAACUUUAGACAAGGGCAUUUGUUCAUAUCCUGUGUCCUUAAAAUCAUAACAUUUUGAAUUCAGUAUUUGACAUAGUUUACUAAUUUGUUUAUAAUGCAAGGCCCAAUAGUUACACAGACCAGAAGGACUAACAGAGGCACUGCAACUGCUGCUAUAAGAGUUUUUAAUGAAGGGGAAAAAGAGAAACAAUGCUCAAACCAGUUUUUUUUUUUUUGGCCUGCCUUUCUUGUUCUCUUUCUUGCAAUCACUUUUUAAGGCUUGCCAUGUUCUGUCUGAUGAACCCAGAAUGCUCGGCUUAUACGCAGCAGUUUUCUCCUAAAGCCAAACAGACACCUCCCUCUUUCAAGAACCGGAGAUCUAAUAUGCAUCAGUUUUAUAAAACCAUCUCAGCCAGGGAGCUCAAGGAAUCUUCCAGCUUAGAGACAAAGUCAUUGAAAGUGGCUAGAUCUUGGUUGAUAAGUGCACUCAAUUAUACUCAGGUAUAAUUUUGGUCACCAAUUACUAGGCUGGACACAUAUUGACCCUGCCAUCCCAAUUCCCCAUAAUUAUUGGUAUAACAUAGGAUUUCUCUUUAAUCAGACAGAGCUCCUUUGAUUUAAGCUAGGAAAAAAAAAAUGACUUCUACCAUUUUCUCCAGAGUAUCAAUACACUUGAGGAAAGACAUGAACCAAUAGUCAAAACUCAGGGUGCUGGGUAAACAGGUGAUGCAUGGAACAAGGAGUUAUACCAGAAGUGCAGGUGAACCAGAUUCUGUUGGGAGCAACAAGGUGCUGAUUAGCAGGAUAAGGGAGAUUAUAAAUCAGGGAUGAAGAGGUUAGAUUACAGACUGUGGCAUAAGGAGAAGUGCACAAGAGGUAGGAGGCAGAGUAAACACAAGUUCCUGGUGUACCCUGUACAUUGUCCAGCAUGAGCAAGGGUCUAGCACUCCACCAACAAAGUGGGGUCAUCUGCAUAGGAGUUUGAAACCUGAUUUAUCAUAACAGUCACAGGGGUGUCCAUAUAGAACGGUGGUUGAGAUGGGCAGUCAAUAAUGAGGUUUGGGGCACUAAGAUUGAGAAACUAGUAAGCAAUGUCUAAAGGUAGAAAAGGAUUCAGGGUUGGUACAAGAGUGACAGAUAGCAAGGGGUUGGUGGCUUUGGGGGAAGGAGCGGGGAUAUCAGAGGGAGAGGAAGGAAGGUGUGUAAGUGAGAGGAAGCUGAGGUGGUUGGGGAGAUUGUGGGCCUAUGGGCCUAUCAGGGGCUGUCCAGAUAGGCCCAGGAACAAACUGGAUGGUAAAGGUGUUCCCAGGGUUAUAUCCAGAGACCCAUAACCUAAUACCAUAAUGAAUCCCACUUUCCAAACAGAGUCAGUUGGGGUUUUGCAUCUGAAAGUCAUAAGGUUACAUUUAUUGAGGGUGCAGGAAGACGGGGUCUCCCGGAUGAGGAAAAGGUGGCAGUCUUCUUUGUUUCCCCACCAAGGACAUAUAGACUCACAACCUCAGUAUCUCCAAAAAUAUUCUGUCUCCAUGGACUGUGAGCACCUCUCAGUGUGAUAAUCUCUAAACACCCCAGUUCCAACAUAAGUAGCUGGCAGUUGUUUUUGGGGGCAGAGAUACCAGCCAAUGUAUUGUAAUUUGCUUUGGUUUUCUAGGUUUCCACAAUGGUAUUUUUUCCGUCUGUGGUUCUUGGAUUAGGGCUGUCUUUUGUACAAUAUUUAGUGGGUUUGGGGCCCUAUUUAAUAACAUACAUAAAUCUAUGAAACACCACCAUGGAUGGUGGUGUUGGUUGCCAACACCUCACCAGUGAUGUAAUCAGUGAUUUUCCAAGUUCCAUAUUGAGGGUUUUGAGAUGUACCCCUGGGUUUUCCGUAAGGAAGAAUGCAAAGGAACAAGACUAUUACGUACGUUUGGCAAUCUUAAGUUUUAAAGGGCUUAGCAGUCCAGUUAUCUGUAGGCUUGUCAUUUUCAGAGACUGGGACCAGCUUAAAGUAGGAAUGAUGGAUCCAAGCAGGUUUCCCAGCAACCUUGAUGGCAGUUGGAGUGCUGAGGAUCACAAUGUAGGGACCCUCCCACUGUGGUUUGAGAGACCCUUGGUGAUGUCGUUUGAUGAGGACCAGUGUUCCUGGUUCUGCAGCAGGGUAUUUGGCCUCAGGAUAGGCUGCAGGUGGAGGAUGUUGUCAGAAUAAAUGAUGGAUGGAAGUCAGAAUGGCCUGGAGGGACUUAAUAAAAUCUUGGUUAGCUAAAUCAGCUAGCAUUUCUUCAGAAAUCUUAGGAAUGAAGGGAGAGGGGUCUCCCAUAUAGAGCCUCAAAAGUGUAAAUACCAGCAACAUAGGAGGUACAUUGCACAUGCAAGAGGUCAAAAGGAAAGAGACUCACCCCGUUUUCAACAGUUUUUAAGGCCAUUUUGGUUAUUACUGUUUUUAGAGUCUGGUUCAUCCUUUCUACUUGUCCUGAACUUUGAGGCUGGUAAGUACAAUGGAGUUUCCAGUCAAUCUGCAAGACUUGGGCCCCAUGAAUAAGGGGAGUCCAAAUUGAGGGAUGACCUCAUGCAAGAGCGUUUUAACUACUAUCAGGGCUGAUUCAGACUUAGUAGGAAAAGCUUUGACCCAUCCAGUGAAAGUAUCAAUCAUUACUAGUAAGUACUUGUACUCUUGAAGUCCAAGUUUUCCCAUCUCUGUAAAAUCUGUUUCCCAGUGUUCUCCAGGCAUAAUCCCAUGGUAGCAAGUGGUUUCUAUUUGUUGCUGUUGCUUUGGGUUCACCAGUUGACAUUGGGGGCAUCUGAGGCUCACAGACUGGGUAAGCUUUGUUAAUUGGGGAAUACAGAAACGAUCUUGAAAGUGGGCAGCAAGUUUUGAUCCUCCCAGGUGAGUGGACCGAUGAUUCUGUUGGAUAAGUUCACAUCCCAAUGCCUCAGGGAGAAUGUCAGGGGCACCUCACUCCCCACUGAUUUUAAGGCCACUUUUUGGGCAGUAGCAUCUGUCAGAUUAUUUCCUUGUAUGAUGGGAUCAUCAGUCUCCUACUUGAUGGGCUUUAAAGCUGCUGUCUUCUUAAAACUGAUAGUAGUUGGAUCCAGAAGUACUGCCUGAUAGUGCCUGACUUGGGAGUUGGACAGACACUGGUUUGGUGGAGCCUUGAUGAGGGUCUCCAGUGAAUAAGAGGAGACAAGAAUUUCUGUCUAACAGUUAAUUUACCAGGAGGCUUCUUUACCAGGACAGCCACCAAGACAAUCACCUGUAGACAAGGUGGCCAUCUGGCUGCCAUGCUAUCAAGCCUCUUGGAAAGGUAAGCAACAGGCCUCUGCCAUGGUCCCAAACUCUGGGUCAGUACUCCUUUUGCUACUCUUCACCUCUCAUCGAUAUGGAAAACGUUUUGCAGGUCUGGCAUUUUCAGCUAUUUAAAAGCCUGGUCUUGAGAGUCUGACUACUCUAGAGGGUCCUGCGUGGCUCCUCUCAAUGAAUCAUAAAGAGGCUGAAUGAUCUCUGCAAAAUUAAUAAGUUAAAGCCUAGACAUACUGUAAGAAUGUUACAUCAGGAUAGUCCUCUCUGCAGCCAAGAGAUCUCUAGCUAAGGUUUCAUCAAAAAUAGUUGACACAUUUUUAAAACCUUGUGGCAAGUAUGUCCAAGUUAACUGCUCUGACACUCCUGGAGGGGUCUGUCCAUUCAAAGGCAAAGGUGGGUUGACUUACUGGAGUAUUAGGCAAGGUAGAGAAAGGAACCUUUAAGUCCAACACCUGAGUACCAGGUCUGCUCAGGGCUCAGCAGGCUCAGCAGAGUGUGGGGUUGUGUACAAUGGCAUAAAGAGUUACAACUCUUUUGUUUACUUCUCUGAAAUCCUGCACUGAUCAGUAGUCCUGGAUCCCAGGCUUCUGAACAGACAGCAAGGGGAUAUUCCAUGGGAAAGACACAAAGUUUUAAUAUACAAUGUUCUUUUAAUCUCAAUAUAUGUUUGGCUAUGGCUUGAUAGGCCUGCAAACUGAUAGGAUAUUGCUUAAGCCAAAUAGGGGUGGCCUGGGGUGUAAGCUCUAUCACCAGAGGGACUUAGUUUACUGCCAGACUGGGAGGGCUAUGUUCUGCCCAAACCCCAGGAAUUUCCUAUAUUCAGUGGUGUAACAGCUCAUUGUCAUUAAAAACAUUAGGACUUUUUAAUGAUAAAUGUCUUUUGCCCUCAGGAAUGAAGGGAGAGGGGUCUCCCAUAUAGAGCCUCAAAGGACAAAGACCUUGGUUUCAAGGAAUUUAGGUGAGCCAUUCCCCAUUUGCACUGCUAAUGUGGCUGAUUCAAAACUGAGAUGAACUUUUAGUUUAUGCAAGAGGUCUCUACCCAACAGGGGAUAUGGGCAUUCUGGGACCCAAAGGAAUUCAUGGGAAAUGGUCUUUUGCCCUUGCCUGGUGAGCUGAACUUGAAACUUUGGAUAAACCUUUGCUAUUCUGGUGGCUCCUCAUACCUUUAAUUUUCUUCCAUUAGGGAUUCCUAUAGGUCGGGUUAGAACCAAACAAGAGGCUCCAGAGUCCUCUAAGAAAUCAAUGGGUUGGCCCCUACAGUCAAAGUUAGUGUGGGCUGGGGGAAACAUGAGAGCCCUGACUUUCCUAAUCAUGGAACAACAGAGUCUUUGCAUCCUUCUCUAGUUUAACUUGGAGCUUAGGACAAUCCCUUCACCAAUGUCCCAUUUCCUUACAAUAAGCACAUUGAUUUUUCCAUAGAGGUGGAUGAAGCUUCACAUCUGGCUUGGUAACUUUCUCAGUCAGUACCUCUAAUAGCUUAGGCAACUUCUGAUCUUUCAGAUCUUCAUAGUUGUCGAAUACCAUUUGAGCAGUCUCUAAUAACUGGUUAGGGGGGCAUUCCUUCAAAUCCCUCAAGCUUUUGCAACUUUCACUUAGUAUCUUGGGCAGUUUGGGUUACGAAGGCAAUAUUAGUAGCCCUUGCAUUUUUGGGUACUACUGGGUCUAUGGGUGUAUGAAUGCAAUAAGCCUCUUGUAAUCUUUCCAGAAACCCCAAGGGAGACUCAGCCAAUUGUCUUACCUCUGAAACCUUGGACAAAUUGGUGAUUGUCUGGCGGUGCCUUUAAGGGCUUCUAAAAACAACAGGUGAUUCCAAUCAAGAGCUUCCUUUCCUUUAGUUGUAUUAGCAUUCUGGUACUCUGGAUUAGAGGAUGUUUCCAUCAGGAUCAUGCAAUGCUAUUCAUCCAAGUUGUGUGAAUGCAUUCUCUCUCUUCUGCUAUAAACAGAACCUGUAAAAUCAGCUGACAGGUGGGACAAUGAGUGGAAAAAGAGAAAUAAUACCUUGAGGGUCUUUUGAAAAAGGGGGGUUCUGCUGUCUCCAAUUAUAAAGAUCAGAAGUAGUGAAUGGAACGUAGGUAAAUUUUGGGGCAGAGGGAUCUUUAGGGUUAAGAAUCUCCCAUAGAGGAAGGAGGGUGGGGGUUGUGGAGGAGUCGGGCAGUUUCAAACGCUGAUAACUCCUGGUUUGGAUAGGGCUGGGAGGGUGAGAAUGGGGCUCUGGUUCUGGAGAUGAAGAUUUUGGGGCUAGGGUGGCAGCAGGAGUUCUUGCUCUUUGGCAGGGAGAAUCAGGUGCAGCUCUGCUUUUGGUUUCACCUUUAGAGGUGCCAGGAGUAAAGGAUUUCCAAGUUGAUGGUCAGAAGUCUUUAGAAAUCUUUUAAGCCAGGAGGGGGUGUCAUAAAUGAGGUCAAAUCCAAACAAUUUGAUCCAGGUGGGCUGGGGGACUGAAAACAUAUUGUCAGAUAGCUUGAGCUGUGGACAAACCGAAACUACCUGCCAGCGGCCAGUUAGAAACCCUGGUGGGCUAUUCAAGUUCACAGAAGAUACAGAGCCUCUCAGGAUUUAUGGGUUCUCCGUAUCCCUGGGGCAGGAUCCUUAAAAUCUCCAAAAUGAUUAAGGACCAGGGUUAAAGGAAAAAAGACACUGAUGGUACCUGGCCCAUAGUUAUUAAUAACCAGUCAAAAACAAAAAUACAAAACAAGGCACCACAAAAGACAAAGGAAACACUGAACAUGCACACGAAGGCUUUUCUGUCCACAGUCUGGUGACCUAAAGGGAAACAAUAUUUAUUAUAACCCUUGAGUGCAGUAAGCCACAUGGAGCCUGCAACAGAAACCAAAGACAAAUUCAAAUGGGCAGAAUCCCCAGAGUUAGUAACAAAGACAAAUUCAAAUGGGCAAAAAGCCCCCAAAUUACAAAUGGGUAAAAAGCCCCCAGAGGCCAUCCCACUCUGGUGCAGAAAGAACACUGGGUUCAUCUACUACAAAUGUGCACACCCAAAUGGGCAAAAACCUAAAAUUAAAAUGAAAUACUUACAGAUGUUAAGCUGAUCAGUGAAUAAUUUGGGGAGGGGCCCUUGAGAUAGUCCCGAAUGAGACCCCAAAUGUAGUACCCCAAAAUGCCCUAAGAUGUUUAAAAAAUGGGACAAGACAUCUUUUUUAAAAAGUGCUUUAUUUUAGCUGGUAGCCAGUGACACAGCCUGCAUUGGAAUCUGCAGAGCUAUGUAACCAGGUUGUUACAAAGGGCGGGGGUUAUAAAAGGAAAAGUUGCAAAGAAGAGAAGAGGGAGGGAGCUUAUACCAAAAAGGAGUUAAUCUCUGCAAACUGUUUUACAACCAAGAGUCAGUCAGUCCCGGGACCAAGUGUUUUGCAAUUAGUGGCCAGCAAAUGUUUUACAACCCACGGCAGUUCUGGGACCAAAUUGCUGUUCUGGAAGGGGUGUAAUUCACAAGAAACAAGAGUUAAAACACAAGUCAGGAUAAUGGGGCUUACAACAGAAUGGUGGCACUUUUAGUUAGGUUACAACCAGUAUAGAUGAUUGAUGCAACUAGAUCAUACAAUUGUUAACUCAGACUUAUAUUCAAAAAGAAGAUUAGCCUGACUAAAGCAUUGGGAGAGUCAACAGAUAACAAGACUUGGAAUCUAGUGACUCUAGUUUUGUUAGAUUUUCAUAUAGUCUCACAUUUAGUAAUAGAGCUGUUGAUUAGUUUUAAACAAAACCAUGUCUGAAAAUUUGCAGAAUGUUUGGUUGAACACAGAUUUGUUCUAUUACAAGUAUACCAGGGGCAUAUUUCUAAAGAUACAAGUUCAAGGGAAAAAAUUGGUUUGGGCUUAACAUAAAUAAUAUGGGAUGGAAUAAUGUGGAUAGAGAUUAGGAAGAACUUUAAGGAAAAAAAGCCCAUAUAUCCCAUUAAUUAUCUUCCCAGUGGAGAGGUGGGUUUUUAUGAAAACAGCAAAAUCCAGAAAGGACAACAUAGAGAUGAGAAUUUACCUGAAAAAUAAUGUAAGAAGUUUUAAUUUGUUUCGAAGAAAUCAGAAGGACAUAUGUGUUUAUGAUGUAAGAAUGGUAGUUAAUCUAAUAAGCAAAUAGAAAAAUAGAUGAAGUAUCACUUACAAAAUCAGUUUAAAAAUGGGAUUUGAUAAUAAAGGGAGAAAAAAGGAAGAGAUAGAAUGUUUAAAAAGUGACUAUAUCACAUUAAAUAGAAACAAACAGAUCUUUUUGAGUUAACACAAAGUUUCUUUGACAUUAGAGAUAUAGUUUUAGUCAUGUGGUAGAGCGUGUUAUGAUUGGGAAAAUGUUUGAAUUUGGAGGGUUCGUGGGAUUUUUGCAGAAUAAUUGGAAUAUAAGAUUAACUUAAUGUUCUCAGAUUACCAACUUGAAACAACACUUCUUUUGCACUUAUGUAGUCCAUUUUGUACACUGAUGUUAUUUCAGAUGAUGAUUUGCUUUGCAAAUAUAUAUUUUUAGCUUGAUUCUUAAUAUGAUUUAACUGUACCUACUUUUUAUUGUGUAUUUGUGAGAAGUACUAUGCAAAGAAUCUUCCAUAUAUUUUCCUGUUUAGCUUUGCAGUGAAUCUUCAUCUUAUGGCUAUAGAAUCAAAGGAAUGAAAAAUUAGAAUGAAGAUUCAAACUUGGGCUGGCUCCAGUGUCAGUGGUACUUCACCUUGUACAAUAGUAAACUGGAGAUGCUAAAUGCUUAGAAGUCAAUUUGUGUUCAAGGAGGUUUUUACAUUAUGGUAACUGUCAAUUUAAUAUCUUAUUAGGACAUUAUAUUAUACAUUUGUUGUGGUUAAAUGUUUAUUUCAUAGCUGGACAUAAUGAUACAAGUCUGUAGUCUCCCAGCACUGUGGAAGCUGAGGAAGAAGAAAUGCAAGUAAUAGCCCAACAUGAGCCAUUUAGUGACUUAGCAAAACCUUGUCUUAAAAUAAGAGAUCAAUGUGUAGCUCAAUGUGAGAAAUUAAUGCAGCUCCAUGUGAAGGCUGUAGGUUUAAUUCAAGUACUAAAAACAUUAUUUUCACAUAAUUGGUCACAAAUACCAGGAAGUAAAUAAUGAGAUGUUAUAUACACACUACUUCUUUUCUCACAAUGGCAGGAUUUUGCAAAAGUACCAUGAAAAGUUAUUUCAAUAUCAGUGACAAUACAAUCUAUACAGAAUUUUUCCAGAAACUUCCAACUCUGUUCCAUUCUCGAAUCCUAUCUCAGGUCCCUGAUUGCAUAUUGAUUUGUUCUUUGUUCCUAUAAUUUUAUUUCAAGGAUAUCAAGUUUUUUCUGUAUAUGUUUACAUUACAUGAUGUUUAUAUUCUUUGUGUACAGUUGAUGCUUAUAUGUAACAUCCCAGUUUAUUUUGUUACUUAUUUUUUCCUACCUUCUUUUUUUCCUACCUUCCCCUUGCUCCUUUUCUUGAUCCUCUUUUCCGCUGAACAUGAUCUGUCUCUCUCCCUCCUAUUAGCUAUAUUUUUUAUUUUGCUGUUUAAUUUUACUAUGGGCUUCUUAUAUAAGAGAAACUUUGUGACAUUUAAGCAAGAGUUAUAUAUAGUCUAUUACAUCUUAUUGUCACAAAAUACGGUUCUCUCAAGAUGUUACUUGAGUUAUGUCAUAUAUCAAUACUUCUAUUUGUAGAUAUAGAUAUAUUACUAUUUAUUUAGACAUUGUUAUAGUCUUAAUUGUUGAUCCUUAUUCCCAAGUGAUGGUUGGUAAGAGAUAGUUUCAUCAAGAAGUUGGUGGUUUAAAAAAUGAGCCCUUAAAUCCUUACUUUGUCUCUUCUACCAUCUGUGGACCCAGAAAAAACACAUGCUGUUUGAGUCAGAAGGGGUCUUUACCAGAAAAUAAACCUGCUUGUGCCUUGAAGUAGACUUCCAACCUCCAGAACUAUAAAAAAUAUUUCUUCUGUUCAUAGUCUUUUGCUACAGAAGCCCAAAUGGACUAAGACUUAUUGAAGGAUAUUUGUCUUUAUAGUUUGAAGUGAUUAUGAAUAAAGCUGUACAGAUUUUGUGUAGUUAUGUUUAAUUAGUCUGAGAUAAAUAACCAAAUGGACAAUUACUGAUUAAUGUAAUUGUUGCAUAAUUUAAGUUUAAAAGAAACUGCUAGAUUUUAAUUUUAAAAACAAUACAGAAAUUUUAAAAAAAGUUUAGUUUUGAGCUUUAUAUAAAGAUUCAUUUAUUCCUUCUACUUUUUGCCCUGUAGAUGCCCAGUAACUACAACAGUAUUUGAUUACACUUUCACUUUAAAAUGAAAAAGAAAAAGGUGGGGGAGAUACUUGUAUUAGUUAUUUCUUUUAGAGAUUUUCUAUUCUACUCUAUAUCUGUACGCUAUACACUAUGUAUAUUUAUAUCAGGAUAGAUAUGUCUGUAUGUCAAUACACUAUUUUGAUUGCUAUCAUUACAUAAUAGGCUCUACUAAUAUAUUAAUACUUUUUUUUAGUUUUUCCUAAAAGAAUUUUAAAAAGUACUUUAUAGUAUUUCUAUAUAAAUUUUAGAAUAAAAUUUUAUUCACACGAAAAUUUUAUUGGGAAUUUAAUGAUUUGUGUAACAUAUUGAUAUGUAUCUGACAAGGUUCCAGCAUCAUAAUACAUACAACACAUAGAAAAAUAUACUUGCAGUGUUUGCUAUAUUGUCAAGAAAAUUUACAUAUUUAUUAAACUAACAUCUGUUGUAUAGAAUGUCUUUUCAUUUAUCUAUUUGUAUUGAUUUCUCUCAGCAUUUUGUGUCUUGUGCAGAUACUAUAAACAAAGCUUUUCAUUUUCUUUUGAGUUUACAGAAUAAUGAUUUGAUUUGUCUCUUAGGACCUUAAAAAUUCAUGUAUUCUGAAGGAGUUUCAGAAAUUCUUGUGAACUUUUUAUGUAUACAGUGAUGUCACUUUUUAAGUCCAGUGUGAUAUCUUCUUUUCCUAUAAUACUUCAUUUAUUUUUCUUGCCCUAUUUAGCAAGGAAGGAUUGCCAAUAGUGUACUGCAUAUAAAUGAAGAGAGUGAACUAUGUUGGCUUGUAUACUACUUGAAAAGAUUUUAACUUCUGAGAAGCUUAUAUAAAAUUGGAGUGAAUUAUUUAAAUAUUUGAUAUAAUUAUCCAAUAUUGCUGUUGUAUUCUUUUAUUUCAGCAUGCUUUAAGUCUACUGUUGUUCUCCAAUUAAAACACAUUAUUUUUUGCCUUAUUAUAAUGCCUAAAACACAUUAUUAUUUAACUGAGUCAUGUUUUGUCAUCUGUUCUGGCAGUUUUUUAGUUCUAUUUCAAUACUGUUAAUUGAAUUGGUGUUUUUUUAUAAGUUACAUCCCAAACCUUUUUCCUUUGUCAUUUCCUUUGAGGUAAAACAGUGCAAAAUUAUCCAUACCAAGCCCAAACUUAUACUCUUCCUGCCUCAGCUUUCCACAGAAAGCUGUGAUUACAAAUGUAUAACACCACAUUUGGUUUGUUACAAGUUUUGAGUGACAAGGGCAUUGAAGGUAAAGUUGAGUUUUUAAGGACUUACAGCAGAAAUUCUAUUAUUUUUAUGUUUUGUUUUUUUGUCAUUUGUAAUGUUUUCUUAAUUUUUUUUCUCUUUUUAUCAGUACCAGGGAUCAAACUCAUUACAUGCUGUACAUAUAGCUUUGUUUGAUUUUCUCAGUGGUUAUAUCCAACAUGUUUUGAAAUAUUUUUUUGUCUAUGUGUAACCACUUGGACUGAACAAUGGAAGCCUUUCCUUUCUGAUUUCUACUUUUUAAAUAUAUGCUAUUUAUUUUUUUAAUAUAA